GUUAAAACGACGACUAAAACAUAUGACUAUUUAGAAGUGAAGCCUCCUUUUAGAAUAGAGUCUCCACUUUUGAUGGACUCCUCCUUCAAAUAUCUCUGAGUUGGUCUUGUUUUCCUCUCACUUCUUCUCACCCUUUUCUUCAUACCAUCCAAUGGAAUUCUCAAUCUAUAAGAUACAUGUGAGCAAAUAUAAGUUUCAAUUAGACGCAUAAAUCUAUCGAAAUGGGUUGCUAGAACGGAUCAUUCACUCUCAUUAUGGGAUGGUUCGUAAAACAUGCAGGUCUCUUGUCAAAGGCAAACAAACAAAUCAGAAAGUAAAGAAAGGACAUUUUUCUUGUGGGUGAGAAUCAAACCAAACUUCUCGGAAGUCUGCAAACACAACUCAUAAACUGAUAAGCUUUUCUUGAAACUUUCAGGCUGAUGAUGUGCUGCUAAUCGUUUGAGCUCCUUGCUGCUGAGAAAACUUUUAAAAGACCAAAACAUCUUUGAGCAAAGAGCAAGAACCUGUCUUGGAACAGAUUAUCAUUGUAGCCUUGUAGGUAAGAGAAGACGAUCUAGAGGCUCAAACCAAGGUCCUCUAAUGAGCAGUUUCAUGUUUUAGUGGUAUUGCAAUGUAAGUUGAGAAUAGUUUAUGGAUGGGAUCUGAUAGAUGAAGAAAUUGUAUGAUAUAGAUUGUGACUUGAAAUAGUAUGCAUCACUUUGUUAGAAAGAGAGGUAAUGAUAUAAUAACCAAAAAUACCUUUAAA